AGCUGUGGAGGACGCGAGUUACGCUUUGCGGGGGAUUUUGCCUCGUCUCCGUUACGAGUUGUUGACUGAGCGCGGCGCUGUGGUUUUUAACUUGCUUACCUUGUGGUCUUGGAAAACCUGAGGGAGGUUUUUAUGCGGCCACCCUCUCAGUGAGCUCCCCUUUCCACGCCGUCCGUCUGCCUCGGCCGGCGACGCGCCGUGCGUACCUCGGAAGUUUCCUCAGAGGCCGGGAUGGCUCAUUUUAUCCUCAUCUGCUGCGGCUCUGCGAUUGUCCCAACUUUGUCUUUACUUUUGUCUGACUUUACUAUUCCACUUGCGCAGUGGACCCCACGGCACCGCAGAGCGCCAGAGAUUUGUGUUGGAUUGAACUUACCAGUUUGAUCUUGGAAGUUUAUGAUUCCUCGAAUCUCAGUUUCAUCGCCUCUAAAGCCGUGUUGAUAAUACAUUCCACAUUUGCAGUGUGAUCAUAAAGUAAUUGCCAUAUGGAAAGCAGAAAAUAAUGGAUAAUGAAAAUAGCUAAAGCUUUGGCAUGCUUUUCAAAUGUCUCGAAUUUUCUCUAAAAUUCCUGGAAUGGUUCUGGCCUUGAAUAAGGACAAGAGAAACUCAAGUGGUAUCAAAGCACAUUCAACAAGGACAUGGCAGAGCCUUACACUGCUUAGUUCUUAUCUUUACCCUUUGCUUGAAAAAAAUAUCACAAUCUUUAACCCAGUGACCCACAUUAAGUAGAUUUUCUUCCAACAAUAAGUAAUGAUGUAUAAAAAUAGCCCUCCUGUCCGAGAGGAAAAAGAUUUUUUUUUUUUUUGAUAACUUUUUUUUUUUUUUUAAAGAAAGGACAACUGUUCUCUUGAAAGGAGCCUGAAAAAGCCAACCGACAAUCCUCAGACUGAUGUGUCCAGGCCUGAAUUCUUGCAAUGGAAUGCUGGUUGGAAAUAAAAUGCACCACUUCCUGCUUGACCUAUAACAAUCCCCCAAGUGUGCUCUUCGUACAUUUUCUUCAUCCGCUGAUUGGAAAGGACCCUAGAGACCAAAGAGAAACAAGAACUUUAAGAUAGAAGAAGCUUGGAACAGAGCCUGCUGCCACUCCUUUGCCACCCCAUGAGAUGUAAGCAAGAAAUAACAUUUAUUUUGGUGGAUUCUUUACCAUCUGAGAUCAUCAGGGAAGUCCAGGUUUACUUUGAGGGACUAUAUUUUUAUAGGAAUCAAAAUAUACUAUGAUCUAAUUUGAAAGGUCUACAAUACCACUGCUGAAACAUAGUCAUUGCUGAACACUAAUGAAUGAGACUCCUAACAAGUCAAUGUGCUCAAGAGGUAUGUGAAUUGAUGUUAAUGACAAACAUGUAUUAAUUGUUUAUUGUAUGCCAGACAUUGUGCCAGAUUCUUUCCAUGUACCAACUCUUUUCAUCCCCAUACAAUCAUUUAAAAUAGAUAUUGAUGUCCUCACUUUAACAAUGAGAAGACUGAGGCUCAGAAAAUGGCUGGCCUUGGUCAUAUAUCUAGGUAUUAUUUGUGUGAAAUUCUCACUCUCAAGUUUAAGCUUCUAAUCAGGAUUUUAUACAGAUUUUUAGGACUUCUCUGGUGGCUCAGAUGGUAAAGAGUUUGCCUACAAUGUGGGAGACCCGGGUUAGAUCCCUGGGUUGGGAAGAUCCCCUGGAGAAGGAAAUGGCAACCCACUCCAGUACUCUUGCCAGGAAAACCCCAUGGAUGGAGGAACCUGGUGGGCUACAGUCCAUGGGGUCUGAAAGAGUCAGACAAGUUCAUUCAUUAGUUCAAGUCUCAUUCAUUAGUGUUCAGCAAAGACUAUGUUUCAGCAGUGGUGUUGUAGGCCUUUCAAAUUAGAUCAUAGUAUAUCUUGACUCCUAUAAAAAUAUAUAGGAAUGAUCAUAAUAUAUUUUGAUUCAUAUAUAUUUCUAUAGGAAUACAGAUUUUAGUGCAGGGCAAAACUGAGAAGUCACUUCAUUGUCACCUUUUAACAACCUUUCCUCCUUCAGAGAACUCACUCUUACUCUUCAUGUACACAGCUUCUAGUACAUUUCUAGUCAUUUAUCUCUAUUAAGAGGUUUCAUUUUUCAUUUGCAUGUGAGAACACACACUAAUGUGUUCACUCUAGCCUUUUAAUCUUUUCUUCUUUGUUAAUUAAAGGCUCUGUUUCCUAUUGAAGAAAUUUAAGGCAGUAUUAUGCAGGAGACUUUUUGUUGAACAAAGUAAAAUCUUUUUUUUUUUUUCACAUUUUGGCCAUGCUGUGAGGUAUGUGGAAUCUUAGUUACCCAACCAGGGAUUGAACCUGUGCCCCCUGCAGUGGAAGAGUGGAGUCUUAACUGUUGGACUGCCAGCAAUGAAUAAUAUUCCAUUGGGCUUCCCUGGUGGCUCAGUAGUAAUGAAUCCUCCUGCCAAUGCUGGAGACACAGGAGAUGCAGAACUAGAACAAAUAAUUUCACAAUUUGUAUGGAAAUACAAAAAACCUCAAAUAACCAAAGCAAUCUUGAGAAAGAAGAAUGGAACUGGAGGAAUCAACCUGCCUGACUUCAGACUCUACUACAAAGCCACAGUCAUCAAAACAGUAUGGUACUGGCACAAAGACAGAAAUAUAUAUCAAUGGAACAGAAUAGAAAGCCCAGAGAUAAAUCCACGUACCUAUGGACACCUUGUCUUCAACAAAGGAGGCAAGGAUAUACAAUAGAAAAAAGACAACCUCUUUAACAAGUGGUGCUGGGAAAACUGGUCAACCACUUGGAAAAGAAUGAAACUAGAACACUUUCUAACACCAUACACAAAAAUAAACUCAAAAUGGAUUAAAGAUCUAAAUGUAAGGCCAGAAACUACAAAACUCCUAGAGGAGAACAUAGGCAAAACACUCUCUGACAUAAAUCACAGCAAGAUCCUCUAUGACCCACCUCCCAGAAUAUUGGAAAUAAAAGCAAAAAUAAACA